CCUACGGGAGGCAGCAGUGGGGAAUAUUGGACAAUGGGCGAAAGCCUGAUCCAGCAAUGCCGCGUGAGUGAUGAAGGCCUUAGGGUUGUAAAGCUCUUUUACCAGGGAUGAUAAUGACAGUACCUGGAGAAUAAGCUCCGGCUAACUCCGUGCCAGCAGCCGCGGUAAUACGGAGGGAGCUAGCGUUGUUCGGAAUUACUGGGCGUAAAGCGUGCGUAGGCGGUGAUUCAAGUCAGAGGUGAAAGCCUGGAGCUCAACUCCAGAACGGCCUUUGAAACUAGAUCGCUAGAAUUAUGGAGAGGUAAGUGGAAUUCCGAGUGUAGAGGUGAAAUUCGUAGAUAUUCGGAAGAACACCAGUGGCGAAGGCGACUUACUGGACAUAUAUUGACGCUGAGGUACGAAAGCGUGGGGAGCAAACAGGAUUAGAUACCCUGGUAGUCCACGCCGUAAACGAUGAUAACUAGCUGUUCGGGCUCUCAGAGNUGUGUGNGCGAGCUACGACAUAAGUUAGUUACCGUCCGUCGGGUAGGUACGGUCGGCGAGAAGUUAAACGUAACGUUAAAGAAAGUAGUUAGGACGUGAGAGNGCGACGGACGACGACGAGGGAGGAGG
rnacentral:rRNA from 1 species